rnacentral:rRNA from 1 species
AAAGGCACUUUUGUUGCCGUUGUAUGUCUGAAGUUAGGGUCCUGAGAAAACGAAUGCUUAAGUCUUCUGGAAAGGAGCGCCAUGGAGGGUGAUAGCCCCGUCUAGCAUUGACCUCAUAUAGGAUCUUAACAUGGAGUCGAGUUGUUUGGGAAUUCCACCUCAAUUGGGUGGUAUGCUCCAUCUAAAGCUAAAUAUCUGCGAGAGAACCGAUAGUAAACAAGUACUGUGAGGGAAAGAUGAAAAGAACUUUGAAAUAAAAAUAAAGAAGUUCGCUUAAAUUGUUUAAAAUUGAAACGGGUUGG